CGGUGACAGCGUGAUGGAGGCUGUAAUUUUCAUCUUGCGAUGUCUGCCUUUUCUCACCCUCCUGAUGGCCGUGUUCUACCGGUGCAGGACUGAGACGAAAGCUGCAGCUCCAGAGAACAAGGUUCAGGAAGGUUCUGUAAAAGAGGAUGAAGAGGAAGACGAAGCUCUGAAUGAGUCUUCCACUUUGCUCCUGGAGGCCGCAGCACCUGCAGAUGCUGAGGUGGCGGACGGAAGUAUUGGGGUUUCCUGCUCCGCUCCUUCCUCGGAUGUCCCAAACCAAGACUGAAGAGUGUGGGGAAUUACCGUGGCAUCAUACAUUGAUCCAGGUAUGAAACGUAAGUCACUGAUUUCACAGAUUGGGCUGUGUUAUCAGUGACUUACUCUUCAUACAUGGGUCAGAUAAUGAGUUGACUGCCAGUAAGAAAAAUCUUUCAGAUUACUCAAAUUUUUUUUACAAUAAGCCUUUCAUUAUGAAACAUUCAGAACACAAUUCUUACUUCAUGUACCAUUUUGUUAUGAUUUCUUUUGGCAGUCACUUUGGGUUAGGGACAUGUUUGGCUCAAAAUCCUCAGGGAUCUGCAGAAUAUUUUCACAUUUUACCAGCAUCUGAAGAGUUAAUGUAUAUUAAUAGCAUAUUUGUAAAUCAAGCUCAUUGCUGCAAACCUCCUCUAUCAAUUCUGGAGAGUGCGGACUGGCAAACCUUCUCCUCUGCAGCACAUGAAGGAAGUUGCUGCUUUUUUUCUCAUCAGAACCUACCCACGCUCACAGUUAUUUACGGCACUUUUAGUGACACCUCCUUAGGACAUUUUGACACCUCUUCAAAAUGCAGGGUUACCCUGAGUUUUUUGUUCCACAGUAAUGGCUGUGAUGUGACCUGUUUAAUGUGCUGUAUGACAACAGCAUAUGUUUGUAACCGUAUUACACUUUCUUUUAUUUUUUACACCUUUGUAAAAAAAUUGUAAUGGAUGUGACCAAUAAAAACAGCAGAAUUGUA